AGCGAACGCUGGCGGCAGGCCUAACACAUGCAAGUCGAACGGAUCCUUCGGGAUUAGUGGCGGACGGGUGAGUAACACGUGGGAACGUGCCCUUUGGUUCGGAACAACUCAGGGAAACUUGAGCUAAUACCGGAUGUGCCCUUCGGGGGAAAGACUUAUCGCCAUUGGAGCGGCCCGCGUCUGAUUAGCUAGUUGGUGGGGUAAAGGCCCACCAAGGCGACGAUCAGUAGCUGGUCUGAGAGGAUGAUCAGCCACAUUGGGACUGAGACACGGCCCAAACUCCUACGGGACGCAGCAGUGGGGAAUCUUGCGCAAUGGGCGAAAGCCUGACGCAGCCAUGCCGCGUGAAUGAUGAAGGUCUUAGGAUUGUAAAAUUCUUUCACCGGGGACGAUAAUGACGGUACCCGGAGAAGAAGCCCCGGCUAACUUCGUGCCAGCCGCCGCGGUAAUAC
rnacentral:rRNA from 1 species